CCUACGGGAGGCUGCAGUGGGGAAUAUUGCACAAUGGUGGGAACCCUGAUGCAGCGACGCAGCGUGAGUGAAGAAGUAUUUCGGUAUGUAAAGCUCUAUCAGCAGGGAAGAAAAUGACGGUACCUGACUAAUAAGCCCCGGCUAACUACGUGCCAGCAGCCGCGGUAAUACGUAGGGGGCAAGCGUUAUCCGGAUUUACUGGGUGUAAAGGGAGCGUAGACGGUUAGGUAAGUCUGAAGUGAAAGGCCAAGGCUCAACCAUGGGACUGCUGCGGAAACUGUCAAACUGGAGUGCAGGGGAGGUAAGCGGAAUUCGUGGUGUAGCGGUGAAAUGCGUAGAUAUCACGAAGAACACCGGUGGCGAAGGCAGCAUACGGCAGCGCAACUGACGUUGAAGCUCGAAGGCGCGGGUAGCGAACAGGAUUAGAUACCCGAGUAGUC
rnacentral:rRNA from 1 species